CUGAGUCGUUGACACGAGUUGUUGCUGGUCCUCAAACGGGGGCAUGUGCACGCUCUGUUCACACAUCCACCCACACCUGUGCACCCUCUGUAGUUCUAUGGUCUGGGGGACACACCAUCUCCCUCCUGUAGUUCUACGUCUUUACACACACACGUUAAAGAAGUCUGUGGAAUGUACGCCGCGUUUAACGCAAUACAAUA
rnacentral:misc_RNA from 1 species